UCUGGCCAUUUUGCCCAACCCUGGACUAGAUGAAUUCAGACCACAAAUUGUUGUGAACUUAUUAUCAAUGUAGAAGGAUGUCUUCAUCACAAGUCCCACUUAAGUCAAGGAGUUUUGAAGUGGGUGGCUGAAUUUUUUGUCAACUUGUAAGUCACAGCUGUCAGUAGUGUUUGCAAUCAAAAUGUUGUGUGGUAGAGGAGCUUGGUGCUGCAUUGAGCAUGGAUGAUAGGGAAGGAGAAGAUGUUGUGGGAUGCAUGGCACCCCAAUGCGGUUGCCCCUGAUGGUGCAACCUAAAUGAAUACUAAUUCCUACCAAACCACAUCUUCCUGUCCUAAAAACACCUCGGAAAUUCAAUACAAAAAACUUGACAGAGUGGUGGUAUGUCACCCCUUGCAGAAUGGUGAGUUGAUUUAAAACUUCUGAAAAUCAGGAAAUAAAAUGGUUUCACAUUUCCUCGCAUCCUUCAUUCUGCUUUUUCAGCAAUGCCCCAGUUGUGGCAUGAAUAUUCAUAAUUGCAUUCUCUUCUCCUCCUCUCCCUCCCCCAGGUCUCGAAUUUUGCUUAACUCCUUGUUCUGCAUUGGGACAAUAUGCCACCGAGCAAUUCUAACAAUGUAGUCUCUCGAUACAACUGAAAUGCAGACUUGUAGUUGAAAUAAAUACUGCCAAAUGUAUAACCAAUUAAUUACAAUCAGCUGUAUUUGAACAGUGUAUACAUAAUCCUACUUUCAACAAAAGUGAGACAUCCCAGUUUGUGUUGCCAGCACAUCUCUGGUUUUUGUUUUUUGUUGUGGACAAAAACUUGGAGUAAGUGCUAAGAAUAAACCCUUCUCUUGCAACCCACAGCUCAUCAAUAUGUGAGCUGUGCUACUUCUGAGAAGGGACAAUCUUUGAAUAUGCUUUACAGUAGAACAGAAUUUCUAUGAACUGGAUAACUCUGCCUGCAUCAAGUUCUGUCUAAAUAUCUAACAAAGGUUUAACUUGUUUUAUUUGGAAGCUGGUGAAAUACUAUUGGCAUUAAUUAUGGCAGUGACAACGCUUAUUGGAGUCAAAAUAACUGGAACAUUGGGUCACAAACCAUGCUUUUGUGUCUAGGUAAGAAGUGCUGAUGUGACUCCUCAAAUGAAUGUGACCUCUUUAGGUGGAGCACACAUUUAGAAAGGAAGGCGAGGGGUUACAAAAAAGCUUCCUCCUCCAGAAAUGAGAAGCUGGCCUGCUCAUAAGGCACUAGCUUAUCUAACGCUCAACAUGGAUUGAAAACCUUGUCAGAACGGGAAAAUUGCUGGGGGACUUAAUUCUACUAUGCAGACCACAUUUCAUUGUGACGAAAGAGUAGUUGGAAAGACAGUAUCAUGACACCAACUCGUUUGGCAGUGUCUGACAGUCACUGACACACAUUCCAAAUGAAGACCAGGAAGUGACUUGGAUAUGGAAAACUCUUGAGCUAUAUUGCAGAGGUCUGAGACACCUCCCUAAGCCAUGGACAAUCUGAAUGUCUUGAGAUUGCAUCUCUUCACUGGAUGCUACCCAUCACAUUUUUUUUAAACCUCAUAUUUUGGAGGAUUUAAUAGAAUGAGUCAACUUCCAGUUGACAGGAAACUUCAGGAUGAAUUGCUGCUAUAUGGACUUGGUUCAGUUGAAUGUUGUGAGCCCUGAACUAUGAUCCUGAAAUUUAUUUGUGAAUAAAUGAGAAUCAUUCAAUAAAUUACUGUGUGCAAA